rnacentral:rRNA from 1 species
AUCGAACGCUGGCGGCAUGCCUAACACAUGCAAGUCGAACGAGUGGCGGACGGGUGUGUAACGUCUGUGAAACUGCCUGAUUGUUGGGGAAAACCUCUGGAAACGGUAGCUAAUACCGCAUUCCAUCAGAUGUGCCCCGAUGGGAUUAGCUAGUUGUUGGGGUAACGGCUCACCAAGGCGACGAUCCCUAGCUGGUCUGAGAGGAUGACCGGCCACACUGGAACUGAGACACGGCCCAGACUCCUACGGGAGGCAGCAGUGGGGAAUAUUGCACAAUGGGCGCAAGCCUGAUGCAGCCAUGCCGCGUGUAUGAAGAAGGCCUUCGGGUUGUAAAGUACUUUCAGCGGGGAGGCGUUACCCGCAGAAGAAGCACCGGCUAACUCCGUGCCAGCAGCCGCGGUAAUUC